AUUGAACGCUGACGGCAGGCUUAACACAUGCAAGUCGAGCGGGGUGAGGUGCUUCGGUACUGAUCCUAGCGGCGGACGAGUGAGUAAUGCUUAGGAAUCUGCCAUUUAGUGGGGGACAACAUUCCGAAAGGAAUGCUAAUACCGCAUACGUCCUACGGGAGAAAGCAGGGGAUCUUCGGACCUUGCGCUAAAUGAUGAGCCUAAGUCGGAUUAGCUAGUUGGUGGGGUAAAGGCCUACCAAGGCGACGAUCUGUAGCGGGUCUGAGAGGAUGAUCCGCCACAAUGGGACUGAGACACGGCCCAGACUCCUACGGGAGGCAGCAGUGGGGAAUAUUGGACAAUGGGCGGAAGCCUGAUCCAGCCAUGCCGCGUGUGUGAAGAAGGCCUUUUGGUUGUAAAGCACUUUAAGCGAGGAGGAGGCUACCUGGAUUAAUACUCUGGGAUAGUGGACGUUACUCGCAGAAUAAGCAUCGGCUAACUCUGUGCCAGCCGCCGCAGUAAGAC
rnacentral:rRNA from 1 species